GGUAUAGUGGCAGAUUAGUGCAUUAGGUUUAAACCCUAAAAAUGAAAUGAUAUUUCUUAUAUCA
rnacentral:tRNA from 1 species